AUUGAACGCUGGCGGCAGGCCUAACACAUGCAAGUCGCACGAGUGGCGGACGGGUGAGUCAUGUCUGGGAAACUGCCUGAUGGAGGGGGAUCACUACUGUACACGGUAGCUAAUACCGCAUCCCAUCAGAUGUGCCCCGAUGGGAUUAGCUAGGUGGUGGGGUAACGGCUCACCAAGGCGACGAUCCCUAGCUGGUCUGAGAGGAUGACCAGCCACACUGGAACUGAGACACGGUCCAGACUCCUACGGGAGGCAGCAGUGGGGAAUAUUGCACAAUGGGCGCAAGCCUGAUGCAGCCACGCCGCGUGUAUGAAGAAGGCCUUCGGGUUGUAAAGUACUUUCAGCGGGGAGGCGUUACCCGCAGAAGAAGCACCGGCUAACUCCGUGCCAGCCGCCGCGGUAAUUC
rnacentral:rRNA from 1 species